CCAAUAGCGUAUAUUAAAGUUGUUGCAGUUAAAAAGCUCGUAGUUGAAUUUCGGGGUUCUACCGUUGGUCGGGCAAUUGUCUGUACUGGCGUGUGGAAUUUCUACCUUCUGGGGAACCAUCAUGUUAUUAAUUUAGCGUGGUGGGAAACCAGGACCUUUACCUUGAAAAAAUUAGAGUGUUCAAAGCAGGCUUACGUCUGAAUACAUUAGCAUGGAAUAAUAAAAUAGGACGGUGGUCCUGUUUUGUUGGUUUCUGAAUCACCGUAAUGAUGAAUAGGGAUAGUUGGGGGCAUUAGUAUUCAAUUGUCAGAGGUGAAAUUCUUGGAUUUAUUGAAGACUAACUUCUGCGAAAGCAUUUGCCAAGGAUGUUUUCAUUAAUCAAGAACGAAAGUUAGGGGAUCGAAGACGAUCAGAUACCGUCGUAGUCUUAACCAUAAACUAUGCCGACUAGGGAUCGGACGAUGUUAAUUUUUCUUGACUCGUUCGGCGCCUUACG
rnacentral:rRNA from 1 species